GACGAACGCUGGCGGCGUGCUUAACACAUGCAAGUCGAACGAUGAAGAAAAGAAUCGAAGCUUCGGCAGAAAUUCAUUUCGGAUUAGUGGCAGACGGGUGAGUAACGCGUGAGCAACCUACCUCUUACAAAGGGAUAGCCUCGGGAAACCGGGAUUAAUACCAUAUAACAUUGCGACGAAGCAUUUCGAUGCAAUCAAAGCUACGGCGGUAAGAGAUGGGCUCGCGUCCGAUUAACCGGAGGGUGAGGUAACGGCUCACCAUAGUGACGAUGGGUAACCGGCCUGAGAGGGUGACCGGUCACACUGGAACUGAGGCACGGUCCAGACUCCUACGGGAGGCAGCAGUGGGGAAUAUUGCACAAUGGAGGGAACUCUGAUGCAGCGACGCCGCGGGAGUGAUGAAGGAAUUCGUUUCGUAAAACUCUGUUCUAUGGGAAGAAAAGGACUGUACCAUAGGAGAAAGCACCGGCUAAAUACGUG
rnacentral:rRNA from 1 species